CUGUUAAGACUAGCCAUGCAUGUCUAAGUAUAAAUGGUAUACAGUGAAACUGCGAAUGGCUCAUUAAAACAGUUAUAGUUUAUUUGGUAAUCGAAUUUACAUGGAUAACCGUGGUAAUUCUAGAGCUAAUACAUGCUGUAAGCCCGACUUUUCGGAAGGGCCGUAUUUAUUAGAUAACAGACCAAUGCCCCCCCGGGCUUUGUGGUGACUCAUAGUAACUAAUCGGAUCGCAUGGGCCUGUCCCGCGACAAACCAUUCAAGUUUCUGCCCCAUCAGCUUUCGAUGGUAGUGUAUUGGACUACCAUGGCUUUUACGGGUAACGGAGGAUUAGGGUUCGAUUCCGGAGAGGGAGCCUGAGAAACGGCUACCACAUCUAAGGAAGGCAGCAGGCGCGUAAAUUACCCAAUCCUAAUUCAGGGAGGUAGUGACAAGAAAUAAUGGGUCGGAACUAACGUUCCGGGACCGCAAUGAGAUGAAUUUACACCCCUUUUCGAGGAUCA
rnacentral:rRNA from 1 species